rnacentral:rRNA from 1 species
UACCAGCACCCCGAGUGGUCGGGACGAUUAUUGGGCCUAAAGCAUCCGUAGCCGGUCAUGCAAGUCUUCCGUUUAAAUCCAGCCGCUCAACGGUUGGGCUGCGGAGGAUACUACGUGGCUAGGAGGCGGGAGAGGCAAGCGGUACUCAGUGGGUAGGGGUAAAAUCCUUUGAUCCAUUGAAGACCACCAGUGGCGAAGGCGGCUU